rnacentral:rRNA from 1 species
AUGGCACGUGCCCCGGUUGCGGCUCGUGGUCAAGGCGCGUUUGAAGCUGUCGCUGGGUUGGUAGGUGGUCGUGGCCGUGGCCGUGGGCGGGCUGCUGCUGGUCGUGGACGUGCCAUCGGCCGUGGAGGUUCUAAUACUGGGUGUGCCCCUGUUUCUGAUUGUGUUGCUGGCCAUGUGGAUGCUACUCGUCGGGUGCCUGUCGUUGGAGCCCAGCCUGUCGCCAGGCGUCGGGGUCCUGCUCGGCGGGUGCCUGCCGCUGGAGCCCAGCAUGUUGCCCGGCGCCGGGGUGCUGCCUCACCGGUGCCUGACGUUGGGGUCCAGCCUGUCGCCGGUCGUGGGGGUGCUGCUCGGCGGGUGCCUGCCACUGUAGACCAGCCUGUCGCCGGGCGUGGGUGUGCUGCUCGGCGGGUGCUUGCCGCUGUAGACCAGCCUGUUGCCGGGCGUGGGGGUGCUGCUCGACCGAUGACUGGCACCGGCCGUGCUGUUGGACUUGGGGCUGCUGUCCCUGCUCGGCGGGUGCCUGGUGCUGGGAUUGCUAGGCAUUACGUGCCGCGUCAGCCUAUUGGGUUUCCUCCUCGCAGGCGUACAUGUGAUGGUUGGUUUCCUUAUCUGAGUUUGGCCAUGGCGGCUGCAAAUCGCAGAAAACGGAAAGGGUGCGUUGAGUUUCGGCGUGCUCACUAUGAAGAACGUGUCGCCGACGGCACCUUGCCAAAGGAUUGGCAUGGUUUCUCGGUUUAUGUGAGCUCGGAGGUUACCGGGGUGGAUCGCAACAAACGGAAAAAGCGUAAAGUGUCGAUUAGACUGCGUCGUCCUGGACAUGAAGAUGUUGUUGUCAAAGGGCCUUUGCCGAAGGAUUGGCAAGGUUUCUCGGUUGGAUUUGCUGAGUCUCUUAAAGGUACCUACUAA